UUGAGAUGAUAAAAAAUGAUUGCCUUAUUAAGGUUAAAUAUUUGUGUACAUUGUCUUAUCCCAUGGACACCAACCGAGGCUACUUAAAACUGACCAAACUGGACCACCAGAAAAGAAAGGCGUAAAAACAUGAGACAACAAAAGAACUGAGUACAACUAGAAAACAUGAUUUUUUCCAUUCUUCUUAACACACCAUGUAAUCACCAGUCAGUCCAAACAGUAAUCAAUUUGUAUCCCUUUACUAAUCCUUACCUGAACCAGCUUUAAGGAUUGUCCAAUUGUGUCUCAAAUAUGUUAAAUCAAAUUGAUGAUGACAACCAACAAAAUGAGUCAAAGCCUGUAACACAGGAAUUUAAAGGCGACAAAUUUUUGGUUUGAAAAAAUCAACAUUUUCCUUGAUCAUUUAGGAAGCAAAUGUAACUCUUGAAACUCAUGAAACUCAUGAAGCGAGCAUUUCAUCGAUGACUUAUGAUCAUCAAGUUGAUUUGCUUCUCAAUUGAGUGUAAAUAAUUUUAAACCUCAAAACCCAUCUAUAAAUUGAGUAAAAAUAUAUGCUGAAAUAAAAAAACAUUAAAGUUGAUUCAAUGGUUUU